ACAGGGACAGUCGGGGGCAUU
rnacentral:siRNA from 1 species